rnacentral:rRNA from 1 species
AACGAACGCUGGCGGCAUGCCUAACACAUGCAAGUCGAACGAGACCUUCGGGUCUAGUGGCGCACGGGUGCGUAACGCGUGGGAACCUGCCCUUAGGUUCGGCAUAACUCCCCGAAUGGGGUGCUAAUACCGGAUAAUGUCUUCGGUCCAAAGGUUUAUCGCCUUUGGAUGGGCCCGCGUUGGAUUAGCUGGUUGGUAGGGUAAAAGCCUACCAAGGCGACGAUCCAUAGCUGGUCUGAGAGGAUGAUCAGCCACACUGGGACUGAGACACGGCCCAGACUCCUACGGGAGGCAGCAGUGGGGAAUAUUGGACAAUGGGCGAAAGCCUGAUCCAGCAAUGCCGCGUGAGUGAUGAAGGCCUUAGGGUUGUAAAGCUCUUUUACCCGGGAUGAUAAUGACAGUACCGGGAGAAUAAGCUCCGGCUAACUCCGUG